rnacentral:sRNA from 1 species
UAAUAAGCCGAAUCUUGCCCAGGAGCGGGGGAUCCAAGGAGUAGUUUCUCAGGGGUGAAUGUCAUCAGCGGUUUUUGCAAUCGAGACUAGGGCGGCCUUCUCUGCCCGAACCCGGCAGCUAACCUCGUAGGCGGAAUGAGAGGAA